rnacentral:rRNA from 1 species
GACGUAGGGCGCAAGCGUUGUCCGGAUUUAUUGGGCGUAAAGAGCUCGUAGGCGGUUUGUUGCGUCGGCUGUGAAAUCCCGAGGCUCAACCUCGGGUCUGCAGUCGAUACGAGCAAACUAGAGUGUUGCAGGGGAGACUGGAAUUCCUGGUGUAGCGGUGAAAUGCGCAGAUAUCAGGAGGAACACCGGUGGGCGAAAGGCGGGCAUCC